GCACGAAAAAAAAACCUGAGCGCUACAGGGUUUUGAGGAGGCUCCCACAAAAUAAUUUUCUUGAAAGGAAAGAACAGAGGUAAAAAGUCUAGGAUGAAAAGUAAAGCUGCUAAAUCCAAAACUGACUGUAGCAAUUUCGUAAAUGAAUCCCUUUCUGAUGGGGAUUUUUAGAACCGAUUGAGUGUUAUUCGUAAAGAAGCUCGAGUGACCUGGAAGGUAGGGAAAAAGUUGGGUUAAAGGCUAAUUGCGACAACGAGACUGUAACUGAGAGGUUAAUUGAAUUGGAGGCUAGGGAUUUAAGGUGAUCCUAAUUAGCUCAGUUUCGUUUCUCCACUCUAUUGUAUUUCUGUGGAAUUUGGGUUGUUGUUAUCUAGUAUUUUGAAUAUGAGGAUUUUAUCCGGGAUUAGAGAUUUGGGUAGUCGUGAAAGUUAAGUUGUGAAGACUUUGC
rnacentral:lncRNA from 1 species